UACGUAGGGUGCAGGCGUUAAUCGGAAUUACUGGGCGUAAAGCGUGCGCAGGCGGUUUGCUAAGACAGAUGUGAAAUCCCCGGGCUUAACCUGGGAACUGCGUUUGUAACUGGCAAGCUAGAGUGUGGCAGAGGGGGGUGGAAUUCCAAGUGUAGCAGUGAAAUGCGUAGAGAUGUGGAGGAAUACCGAUGGCGAAGGCAGCCCCCUGGGAUAACACUGACGCUCAUGUACGAAAGCGUGGGUAGCAAACAGG
rnacentral:rRNA from 1 species